CGCCUCAACCCAAACUGACGGCAACCAAAACCUCAGCUCCCAAAGAAAUAAAACAAUGAGGCAGCUGCGAUUUCGAACCGGCCCGGCAACAGUUCCGGCAGCGGCCAGAAGCUCCGGUGGAUCAACUAUAAAAAACCGCGCAGCAUCAAAAUCUUUUCGAAACCCAAAAUGACAGAAACCACAA